UACAGAGGUGUCAAGCGUUGCUCGGUAUCACUGGGCUUAAAGGGCGCGCAGGCCGUGCGGUACGGUUCGGGUGAAAUCCCUCGGCUCAACCGAGGAACUGCCCGGGCGACGGCCGCGCUGGACUGCAUCAGGGGACGAUGGAACUCCCGGUGGAGCGGUGAAAUGCGUAGAUAUCGGGAGGAACGCCGGUGGCGAAAGCGAUCGUCUGGGGUGCAUGUGACGCUGAGGCGCGAAAGCUAGGGGAGCAAACGGG
rnacentral:rRNA from 1 species